UACAGAGGGGGCAAGCGUUGUUCGGAAUUACUGGGCGUAAAGGGCGCGUAGGCGGCCAACUAAGUCAGACGUGAAAUCCCCAGGCUCAACCUGGGAACUGCGUCUGAUACUGGAUGGCUUGAGUUCGGGAGAGGGAAGUGGAAUUCCAGGUGUAGCGGUGAAAUGCGUAGAUAUCUGGAGGAACACCGGUGGCGAAGGCACUUUACUGGGCUAUUACUAACACUCAGAGACGAAAGCUAGGGUAGCAAAUGGG
rnacentral:rRNA from 1 species